AAAGUCGUAACAAGGUUUCCGUAGGUGAACCUGCGGAAGGAUCAUUAAUGAAUUAAAGGGUGCUGUUCCUUCAUCGGACAGACCCGACCUUCAUUUCUAACACUGUGCACUUUAUAUACUGUCAUUGUUUUUCUAUUGUCUGUAGGGGCUGUUUGCAGCCUGUCUCAGCACAAUGGAGGCGUUGACAGUUCAUUUUUUAAACUCUACAAAGUCUAGAAUGUAACAACCAUACAAACAAA
rnacentral:misc_RNA from 1 species